rnacentral:lncRNA from 1 species
CUCUCUCUCUCUCUCUCUCUCUGUGUGUGUGUGUGUGUUAGGGGACAGAAGUUUGGAGGGGGUCUCCUGUAGUGCAGGCUAGCCUUGAACUCCCGAUUCUCCUGCCUCCGCUCUGAGGGUUAGGCUAUCAGGCAGAUACCAUAGUUCUCAGGCCUGUCUUGGCUUCAGAUGCUGAGGCAGCCCCUCCUGGGUGUUGUGCUGGCCACCUUCUCCGUGCUCCCUGUGCUUGGUGCUUAUUUUCCUCUUUAGGAUUAGAGCUUUGUUUGUUUCUGUUUUUUUUGAGACGAGGUCUCACUGUGUAGCCUUGGCUGACCUGGAACUCAACUAUGUAGACCAGGCUGUCCUCAAACUCACAGAGAUCCACCUGCCUCUGCCUACCAAGUGAUGGGAUUAAAGUCAUGUGCCACCAGGCCUGACUUCUAUGAUUGCUAUGAGAAAAAAAAAAUCUAUGUGAAGUUUUUCUCUCAUCAUAUUUUAGAAAAUUUAGGUAAAAUUUAAGUCUGUUUUCUUCUAUAAUAAUUUCUAAAUUAUAUAUGUUUUGUUUAUAUUUUUUAGUGCCCACUUCCCAUGUUUCACUAUGCAAAGCUUAAUUCUAAAGUAAAACCAUUUUCUUUGCCUUCCUACUCACAAACACAGGACUUUAUAACACCCACUUGUGAUUGUUCCUCAUGAGUGUACAUGAUAUCAUUAUGUGAUUUAUAUACACUUGUUUUGCUCAACUAUUUUCUUUGUGCUUCAUUUUCCCAUUGCAGCAGAAACCUUUCUUUAAUCUGAGAGUUUGUCUGCCUGGUAUUUACCUUUAAACUUUUCUUUACAGUAAGAGUCUGCUUUUAAGUUUUCCUUUGCAAAUAUUUUUAACAUCUUCAUUCUUAUAAGGCACUUACUUUAUAUAUUCUGGACUGCCAGCUAGUUUCUGUUGCUUAAAGUAACAUUUAUGUUUUAUUUCUAUUACUGUUGCUAAGUCUCCUCAUUCUAAUCAUUGGUUCUAUCUAUAUGGCUAGCCAUAUUUUUUAAUUUCUAGCUUAAUGUCAUCUCCUUUUUCUUUGAGUGACAGUUUUAGCAUAUGUUUCUAGUUAUGGAUUUCUUAUUCUGUUAUCUUGUUUGACUCCUGAAAUGAGGACAUGGGUGUCAUUCUUCUAGAAAAUUCUCAGCAUUAAUCUUUAAACUGCUUUUGUCCCAUCUCUCUCUUCUCCUCUUCAGAGUGGAGUCAGUGGUAUACUAGACCUUCUUUGCUUUGGCCUCUAUGUCUAUGUUUCUUAACCUCUCUCAUAUUUUCUAUCUCUUUGCUUCUCUGUGAUAUGAAACCAGACAAGAUCGAGGUAGGUAAAUAUGAAAGCCAUAUUUACCCAAGAGGCAAACACUAAUAUUAGCCCUGGAGUUCAGAUAUAAGCAUUGGAUCCAGACUAAGUUAAGAGAGGCACAACUGAGAUGCUUUCGUUAAGGAACAAACCCAAGGGGGAUUAAAGCAUAUUAUCCUACUUCCUGUCAGUGCAAAUCCAGAAAACACUCUCAGCCUGAGACCUAAAGAUGUCCAUGUUUGGGUUAACUAACUGUAAAUUCAUUAGCAAAAACACUGAUGAACGAGCAAGACUGGAAAUACAAAUAAUAAACUUCAUAUUUGGACAUCCAGAGACUUAAUAUGCUAGGAAUUCAAAAAUAUUGUUUGAACCUAAAAUGUAAUAAAAUGUGUUUGUUUUAAUUUAGUUGGGAUCUGGUUUUAUUAUAGCAGGAAGGCACUUGGGGGCAUUACUCAGAGUCUCUGUAGUGGAAUACUUACUGCUUAGAGGUAAUCCUUAAUCAAAACCUUUAAAUGACAGUCAUUGUUUUAUGAAUUUUUUCCAGAGUUUUAGAACAACUUCUUCUAAGGUCAUUGAAUCCUUUCUCCUGAAUUAGUAAAGGAUAUCUGGAAAAAAUAUAUAGUAUAAUUAAUAGAAUGCAAUUUAAAAGAGCCCGACUAGGUUGGGUGUGAUGGUGUAAUCCCAGCACUCAGAAAUCUGAGGCAGGAGGAUCACAGGUUUCAGGUCAUCACAGCCUAGGCUUCAUAGCAAGACCACAUCUUCAAACAAAUGAAAACAAACCUUCCAUACCAAAAGAGAUGGGAAUGAGCUUAGGACUAGACAGCCCACGGUAUGUAAAGGCGAGGUCUUGUCCUCUCCUGUCUCAUGAGAAGUGCCAGUGAUGUGUUAGGGAUGAGCUCAGUGGGACUGUGUUUACCUUCCACGCACGUGGCUCUGAGUUCAGUCCCAAGCACAGCAGAAAAGGACUUCUGGACUUUGUGUGUUCUUUUGUUUUCUUUUCUUUUUUGUUGUCAACCUUCUUCCCACCUGUCUCUCCCCUGGACUUUUCAGACGUAAUAUUCAUGGAGUAAGCAAAGAGAAAAUAUCAAGAAUGCUGGAGCACUAUCAGCGCUUUGUCUCCGUGCCGAUAAUCAUGAGCUCUUCCGAUCCAGAGAAAACCGAGCGCAUUGAGUUGUGUGCAUACGCUUCUGACGACAGGUGGGUUAAAGUCUAUUACAUGCAAAAAAAAAAAUAAAAAACAGUGUGAAGCUAUGUUUUCUUUUUUUUUUUCCGAGACAGGGUUUCUCUGUAUAGCCCUGGCUGUCCUGGAACUCACUUUGUAGACCAGGCUGGCCUUGAACUCAGAAAUCCGUCUGCCUCUGCCUCCCGAGUGCUGGGAUUAAAGAUGUAUGCCACCACGCCUAGCUCCUAUGGUUUCUUUUUUAAUGAUAGCUUUGAAGACUUAAAAUCACCACAGAUAAACUAAAAAUAAAGAGGUUUUAUUUUCUAUUUGAUCAGUUUCACCUGAAGUCAGCUGAGGAUGCUAGUAAGAGAAGUAAGAAUUCAUGUGAAAUAUGAUUUUUUUCCCCCUUUGAGCUGAGGGUUUGUGAUCUGCUGUUAUACAGUGAAUACACGCCUUUUUUGAGGAUUUUCCUUUUUUCCUUUUUUCUUCAUUGUUUUUGUUGCGUACAUCUUUGUUACUUUUAUUUCUUAUUUUUAGUUUUUGUUUUUGUUUGUUUUGUAAUGAGGUUGAUUGACCACUUUUCCCUUUUUUAGCUUUGUUUUUUGUUUUUUUGUUUUUUCCAUGUGGUUGCUGGGAUUUGAACUCAGGACCUUUGGAAGAGCAAUCGGUGCUCUU